rnacentral:rRNA from 1 species
GAUGAACGCUGGCGGCGUGCCUAAUACAUGCAAGUCGAGCGAACAGACGAUGAGCUUGCUCCUCUGACGUUAGCGGCGGACGGGUGAGUAACACGUGGAUAACCUACCUAUAAGACUGGGAUAACUUCGGGAAACCGGAGCUAAUACCGGAUAAUAUAUUGAACCGCAUGGUUCAAUAGUGAAAGACGGUUUUGCUGUCACUUAUAGAUGGAUCCGCGCCGCAUUAGCUAGUUGGUAAGGUAACGGCUUUCCAAGGCAACGAUGCGUAGCCGACCUGAGAGGGGGAUAGCCCACACGAGAACGGAGACGCGGUCAAGACUACUACGGGAGGCAGCAGUAGGGAAUCGUCGGCAAAGGGCGAAAGCCUGACGGAGCAACGCCGCGUGAGUGAUGAAGGUCUUCGGAUCGUAAAACUCUGUUAUUAGGGAAGAACAAAUGUGUAAGUAACUAUGCACGUCUUGACGGUAACUAAUCAGAAAGCCACGGCUAACUACGUG